UUAAAUUGAAGAGUUUGAUCAUGGCUCAGAUUGAACGCUGGCGGCAGGCCUAACACAUGCAAGUCGAACGGUAACAGGAAUCAGCUUGCUGAUUCGCUGACGAGUGGCGGACGGGUGAGUAAUGUCUGGGAAACUGCCUGAUGGAGGGGGAUAACUACUGGAAACGGUAGCUAAUACCGCAUAACGUCGCAAGACCAAAGAGGGGGACCUUCGGGCCUCUUGCCAUCGGAUGUGCCCAGAUGGGAUUAGCUAGUAGGUGGGGUAACGGCUCACCUAGGCGACCGAUCCCUAGGCUGGUCGUGAGAGGAUCGACCAGCCACACUGGAACUGAGACACGGUCCAGACUCCUACGGGAGGCAGCAGUG
rnacentral:rRNA from 1 species